UACUCAUAACAUUACAACAUAACCUAUAUGAAAAACAUUAUUUUGAUUUUGAUAUGAUUUGUUAAAAAAGAAUUUCUGAAAAGAAUACAAAAGCUAAAAGUUGAUUUAAGUAGUUUGAAUUUUUCUUUUGAUAAAUCAUGCCCUGUUGUGCGGUAAAAAGCUGUAAGAAUCAUCCAAAAUUCUUACCACAAAAUAGCCAAAUUAUUUUUCAUUCGUUCCCCAAAGAGGAUAUCUAUAAAGAAUGGCUCAAAUUAGUCAAUCGGACUGUAGAAAACUGGGAUGGUCCAAAAGGCAAAGUAGUAUGCUCGGAGCAUUUCAAAGAAUCAGAUUACUAUACGUUUUUCGGGAAAAAAUGUCUCCGUCCGAACGCAUUGCCUUCGGUCAAAUUGGAUCCAGUUAUAAAAAUAACUAUGAACUUAACAAGGGGCCCGUUGAGAAGAAUACCAGUUCAAAGAGCUCGAAACAAAAUGAGACAUAAUCCUCUAAUGACACCUUCACUUUUAAAAUCCAGACCUUUAAUAAGGAGACCUAUUUAUAGAAUACUUGCAAGAGCAGAAAAUAUUAUGAACAACAGUAUUAAUAUUAUUAACAGAGAAUUUGGUAUGAAUUUAACAAAAGAGAGUGUUCUAGCGUCUAUAGAUAAAAAUGGAGAAGAUUUAAAACAAGUGAAGAAUAGUGAGCCAGAGGUCAGUAUUGAUUUAACAGAAGACAAUCCGGAGGUAGAGGAACAAGUAGAAACAGUACAACAAAUAGAAUUACCAGUGGAACAAAGUAUUGAUCUAACACAAGAUGAUCCAGUAGUGGAAAAUGUACAACAAACAGUACAACAAAUAAAAUUACGUGUGAAACCAAGGUCCGUUUUACUAGCAUCACCGAAAUCCAAAGCACCCACAGAACCAAUACAAUUUAAUGAAGGAGCGUUAUUGACUAAUGUGCAACAAUCACAAACUGUCAAUUUAAUCCCAAGGUCUGAUUUAUUACCAUCAGUAGAAUCUAUGGCUUCCAGUAACCCACUACAAUUUAAUAAACCAACAACAUUGAAACCUGUAAAACAACCACAAAAACUCAAUUUAGUCCCAAGGUCUGCUUUACUACCAUCAGUAGAGUCUAUGGAUUCCAAUGGCCCACUACAAUUUAAUAAACCAACAACUUUGAAAACUGUAAAACAACCACAAAAUCUAAAUUUAAUCCCAAGGUCUGCUUUAUUACCAUCAGUAGAGUCUAUGGCUUCUAGUAACCCACUACAAUUUAAUAAAUCAACAACAUUGAAACCUGUAAAACGACCACAAAAUCUCAGUUUAGUCCCAAGGUCUGCUUUACUACCAUCAGUAAAGUCUGUGGAUUCCAAUAACCCACUAAAUAAAACAAUAUUGAAAACUGUAAAACAACCACAAAAUCUCAAUUUAAUCCCAAGGUCUAUUUUAAAAUCAGCUGUAUCACCUGUUGCACCCAAGAAACCAACGAAACUAGUUAAUGGAUCAAGUAUAUUGAAAAAUGUUCAGAAACAACAACCACAAACUCUCAAUUUGAUCACAAGUAAUGGUAUAACACAGGAUCGUAUUAUAUUAACACCAAUACAACCAAACAUAGGAGUAUUACAGCCAGAAAAAGUAAAGAUUGAACCAAGGGUUCCACCAUUACACACUAAGGCACAACAUGUAGCGCCUAUAUUACGUAAAGCUAAACGAAAACUGAUAAGGGUUCCUAUACAAAAUAUAGUACCGGGGACACCUAUGGGACCCAUUAUAAUUAACAAUCAACCUGAUAACGAGGCAGUUCCAAGCGUUGAAAAUAUCAUCAGCAUUGGUGAACAGGAGGGACAAAUAAUUUAUAUAAUUCAGGAAAAUCCACCAACAGAAGAAAACUGUAAUGUGGUCGAAAUUCAAGAGCAACCUGUCGAAUGUGUGGAAGUAACGGAAACUGUGUCAUCUAGAGGGCCAUUCCGAUUUGAAUUAGAUGAUGAUGCAAUAAUAACUCUUAAUAAUGAUAUUGAGAAUAAUAUUGCAUCUUAGAUUGAAUUAUAUUUUUAUCAAGAUGUGAAAGCGCUUAGGAAAACAUAGGCAUCCCAAAUCUCAUUCAAAUCUGAAUAACGGUUCUUAAAAUGUCUUAAAAAAUGUGUUUAUUUUUCUAAAGUUUGAUGCCAUCUAUUGGACAAACCAAGCACUUUUGUAUAGAGUAUGCAAUACAAUAGUACAUAUAUACCAAAAUGGGAUUGAAGCAGAAUAAGACACAAUAUGUUACAUAAAGGAAAUCACAUGUUGUUGUUACAGGAGGAUUUAUCAAACAAAUAUGGUUUAGAUAUGUAUUUAUAGAAUCCGAAUCAAUGUAUAAAUGAAGUGUUAAAGAAAUAGCAUUUCACUUCUGAUUCGUAUUAUGAUCUUUGUGUGUUUCAUUUUUUAUUUUUUUGUGACCUUUCUAUUAAUAAGUUUUAAUAAUUUUGUAGUUGUAUAAAAUUUAAAUAAGUUGUAAACAUAUGCCACGCAAAAAUUGAACUUAUUUCCAUUGAAUUUACGCGUCAAAGUACAAAUCUGUACAUAAUAGAGAAAAACGGCAUCACGGUAGCCAUUGAAACGUCAAUCAUUGCUAAUUUCUAUCAAAUCAAUCCCUUUUCUCACCCAUUUUAUAAUUGAUAUAUGUAUAGGGAUUCCCACUCUACACAAUUACCCAUUGAUUGCCAUUUCAAAAACCACUGUGAUGCCUUUUUUGUCAUAGUGUAUAAUAAGUUCUCAAGAAUAAUUUGUUUUAUAAAAUGUAUAAUUGUAUAGAAUAUAUAUCAGAUAUUAUAUUUUUUAUUG